rnacentral:rRNA from 1 species
CACAGGUGCUGCAUGGCUGUCGUCAGCUCGUGUCGUGAGAUGUCGGUUAAGUCCGCUAACGAGCGCAACCCUCGCUGUGUGUUAUAUGUGUCACACGGGACUGCCGGUCUUAAGCCGGAGGAAGGUGGGGAUGAUGUCAAGUCAGCAUGGCCUUUAUAUCCUGGGCUACACACACGCUACAAUGGCCAACACAAUAGGUUGCUAAGCCGCGAGGUGGCGCCAAUCCAUAAAGUUGGUCUCAGUUCAGAUUGUAGGCUGCAACCCGCCUGCAUGAAGAUGGAGUUGCUAGUAACCGCAGGUCAGCUAUACUGCGGUGAAUACGUUCCCGGGGCUU